rnacentral:rRNA from 1 species
CGGACGGGUGAGUAACGCGUGAGAAUCUGGCUUCGGGUUCGGGACAACAGUGGGAAACUGCUGCUAAUACCGGAUGUGCCUAAAGGUAAAAGAUUAAUUGCCCGAAGAUGAGCUCGCGUCCGAUUAGCUAGUUGGUGUGGCAAGAGCGCACCAAGGCGUCGAUCGGUAGCUGGUCUGAGAGGACGAUCAGCCACACUGGGACUGAGACACGGCCCAGACUCCUACGGGAGGCAGCAGUGGGGAAUUUUCCGCAAUGGGCGAAAGCCUGACGGAGCAAUACCGCGUGAGGGAGGAAGGCUCUUGGGUUGUAAACCUCUUUUCUCAGGGAAGAACAAAAUGACGGUACCUGAGGAAUCAGCAUCGGCUAACUCCGUGCCAGCAGCCGCGGUAAUACGGAGGAUGCAAGCGUUAUCCGGAAUGAUUGGGCGUAAAGCGUCCGCAGGUGGCUUAUCAAGUCGAUUGUCAAAGGUCCUGGCUCAACUGGGAACAGGCAGUGGAAACUGAAAAGCUAGAGUGCGGUAGGGGUAGAGGGGAUUCCCGGUGUAGCGGUGAAAUGCGUAGAGAUCGGGAAGAACACCAGUGGCGAAAGCGCUCUACUAGGCCUGCACUGACACUCAUGGACGAAAGCUAGGGGAGCGAAUGGGAUUAGAUACCCCAGUAGUC